rnacentral:rRNA from 1 species
CUUUAUCGAUGCGAUCGAUCUGCUAGAGCAAGGCUCUCCGCGGCGGGAAAGGGCAGGGAGGGGCGCUGCACGGCGUGGUGGGGGAGUGGCCCGGGAGGUCAACGGCGAAGGGGAGGGGAGGGGCGAGAGGUCGAGCGGCGCCGUGGAACGAGGCGACGGAGGACGGCCAGGUGGAGGAGACAGGGAGGGCGGGGAGGAGACAGAGCCGGGGGCGACGUAGACGUUCGUCGUCGUGUAACGCGUGACGACUGACUGCACUCCUUAGCAGAUGCGAUUUUAUUUUCUCGCUCCUUAGCAGCGGCCGCUGCCGCUCGCUGGCGCGUGCGGCCUCCGUCGACCUCCCUCCUUUCCCUGACGCCUCUCCUCUACAAGUGCUUGCGCGUCGCUGUCCAGCUCGCGUGACCGGCGCCGCCGUGAGGCUCUCUGGUCAUGGAAGUCCUAGAACACUGGGUCAAGGUCCUGAGGUGCCUACUUCCCAUGUUCCUCUCUUAACAACGUUUGAACAGUUUAAAGCGUAUACUGGGAAUAUUGAUGCGGAAAUACGCGGUCGACUUAUAAGAGCUCAACAAGAACCUGACGUAAUGCCUUGGUUUACUUUCUGAACAACUCAAGCCGCAACCACCUUAUACAUUAAGUACACAACUAGGUCGUUUACGAAGACAAUAAUGAGUUACACCACCUUAGGGUAACCAACAUGUUACGAAUAGAUCGGGUCAAUUCUUAUGUCACUUAAUACGUGAACCUCGGAACAUGAUGAAUACGUUGGGCAGCUGUUUCUUGCUCUAUAACUUUGGCCUACAUGAAUCCUAGUAUUCUCUGAUAAGACGUCGACCUCGGCAGUUGUCGUCGAAGUCGUUAGACCGUUUACGUAAAGACCUGUUCGUGCAGUUGAGCACUACAGUCAAGUCUUGACGUCUACCAUUCCGUACAUUGUAAAGUAGACUAUCUCCUAUCUCUCCUCUCCGAUGCGUCCUCAAUGUUAAGACACAGGUAAAUAGGUUCGUGUUAUUAAUCAUCACUGUAUUUAGACCUUAAAAAUGCUGGAGACACUCUUUAGUCAUUCAAGUAGUCGCAACUCCAGAACCAUAAAUAAGGUCUGUUGACAUUUUAACAGAUGACAUUAACCAAUCCUCAACCGUCAUUUUCUUUCCUCCUAUUUCACGAGGAAACAAUUAAGGUACGAGAACUUAUGAGGGAGGCAGGAUUUUUUCACAGCAAUUAAAUCAUGUUGAGACAUGAUUGAAACACGAUUUAAACACUGUGAAUGAAAGCCUACCUCCCUUAAAGAGGCGAAGUUCAUGUAUAGGUGUACUUGCAAUUGUUCUCGACUUCACGAUUUACUCCUAAAGUAAGUACUGGGUAGAGACAGUAUAAAGACAAUUAAAAGUGUAGGAAGAUUCAAAAGGUUUAACGACCAAUUUGAACAUUAGUCAGAGAGGUACGAAGUGAUAUUUCAUCAUCGUCUUUUGAUAGUAAGAAGGGAUGGAACUAGACAUAUGUGUUGUUAAUCUAAUGCCCUCUCCUUUCUUCGGCACGUGUUUGCUAUCCGAUUCCUUAUAUUCAUAAUCUCGUGUUCUUAAGUUCACGAGACUAUUUAACUGGUCGUGUUUACUAAUAAAAAAGCUAUUCUUCCACGAGGUGGAAUAUAUAAGGUUUGUCUGACUUCGGACUGCGCCAAGUGUUUACUCGUAAAAUUCGUACGCAGAGAUGCAAAGUUAUACGACCACAGCUUCAGCGCGAAACAAGAACUUAAACAGCUAAGUCUUCUCCCGUGUCGUUAAAAAACAAAUUUAUUACUUUCAACUCUGAACUUAGAUCCUGGGCAACCGAAUGCAAAAUUCGUGAUUGAUCAUCUUGGUUUUCAAAUCUUACUAACUUUCUAACCUGUUAGGUACAUAUAAAGUUGUCUGAACAGCGUCUACAGGAUGUUUUCCAAGUCCUACCACCUAAGUAAAGGGGUUACAGCGAGUAGGGGUUCCAUUCCCAUGUGAGGACACAUCUUAAGAUCAUGCGAGAAACGGCGAAAGAGGAACUUUCUACACUUUGAACCCACUUUUAUCUAUAUUUUUUUCUGUUGUUUCGAUAGACGACGAAAUGAACGACUCAACACAAUGAGUGAGUGACAUCAGACUAUAUACAUCUCUCUUUCCGUCCCCAUCAUGAAUCUGUUCAUCCACUCGAAAUAAACAACAUAGUUUUGAAUAGAUCCCAUCUUUCGAUCCAUCGAUAUAAGUAAUAGGUUCAUGUUUGCACCAUUUCUAUAAAUAAAUCAAAAAAGAAGCUUUGUCUCCUUAUUCGAAACGGAGUAGGUAAUUAAUUUCCUCUUGAUCUCUCAACUCCAACGUUAUGCUGUGUUUUCGCAGUCGUUAUUUAUGUUCUUUCCGGUGGUGAGAGGGCCGUACUCAAGUGGGUUUGCAAAACGUGGGUGAUACUGGAUUUCAGAACGGAGUAAAAACAAGGGAAGGUACUCUUAACACCCUCCCCGCCUAAGCAUCGCCUUCUGAAGUAAAAUUUACCAGGUUGAGUAGCGUGAGGAUAGGAUUUGCAACGAAAGCCUGUAUAACUAGGUGGUUAGAAAACACCUGGGUUCGCCGUCACAGCUACACAUGUUCAACUUCGGUUAGGGAUUGGUUUGGGGUUCGGAGUUUCACAUCGCCGUAAACAUUUCUAUAAAUCGAAGUACGUAUCUAUAUGUUAGAGUAUUACAACUUCGGUUAGGGAUUGGUUUGGGGUUCGGAGUCAACCAUGUUUGACUUUAGAAUAUGUUAGAGUAUUCUUAAAUCGUUCGUGUAGAGUACCUAAAAAAAACACUCAUUCGUGUUGAGUACCAAGAAGAUUUUCACAAUUGUUAGAGUGGUCAUAGUCACACAGAGUGAACCACGGACGAAGACCACACGUCCUCAUAAGUUCACGACUUUAUCUGGAGACAAUUAAAAGGAAAACUAUAAGAAGAACCCAGUAGUUCACUUAGUAACACCAAGGUGAUCAGAGGUAAAUACACUUGUUUCUCAAAGUAUGUGAUUUUUAUAUGUACGGUACAUUCAUUCCGUCUAAUAAUACUUUCUGGAAGUUUUCGAAUUUUUCCUUCUUUUUCCGGGGUUCAAGUUUAAAGUCUCAGACGACACCUGUUUUCACUACUGAAGAGUUGUAACAGUUCUAAGCGUCGACGUGAUGUAUACUAAGUCGUCAAUAACAAGGAGCGUUUUUUUUUUCAAUAACAAGCGUAAUGUAAUGUGACAGUUCAACACAUCGAGCUCUGUAGGAAGAUAGCGGCAUCAUCCACUUUACCGUAAAAGUAACAGACUUAAAAUGUGGGAUUUAUACAUUUGAGGCACUUAAUGUAGUACAAUUACGACUCAUUAAAAAGAUUGUUCGAGAAAAUAAAGAGUCACUACACUUCGAACCCGCUUAUCUAGUUAUGCUACCACACAUUCUGUUCAUUCCUACUGCCGUGAGUUUUGGCAACUUAGUUUUUAGUUCCGACGUUUCGACCCCCUAUCGUCACCCACUACGACGUGUGUAGCUGCCGACGUUGUCUUGGCCGUCGACAGACGUGAGCUCACGGUACAUGCGAUGUCCACGUCCGAUUCGUGGAACACCGGCCUCUGUCUUGUUACGCUAGAUGAUACAAGAACACCUUCAACUUAAUAAAAGGGCUUACGUAGAGUAGGGGAUAUCCAGCAUGGUCCUAUCGUCAAAGUAGAAAAGAAAGAGUGCGAGUUUCUACAGUUUGAAACCACUUACCUCUACCCUUGGACUCUAGUUCCUUUGCUCUUGUAACAAACGA